AUUGAACGCUGGCGGCAGGCCUAACACAUGCAAGUCGAACGAGUGGCGGACGGGUGAGUAAUGUCUGGGAAACUGCCUGAUGGAGGGGGAUAACUACUGGAACCGGUAGCUAAUACCGCAUACCAUCGGAUGUGCCCAGAUGGGAUUAGCUUGUUGGGGGGGUAACGGCUCACCAAGGCGACGAUCCCUAGCUGGUCUGAGAGGAUGAUCAGCCACACUGGGACUGAGACACGGCCCAGACUCCUACGGGAGGCAGCAGUGGGGAAUAUUGCACAAUGGGCGCAAGCCUGAGGCAGCCAUGCCGCGUGUAUGAAGAAGGCCCUAGGGUUGUAAAGUACUUUCAGUCGGGAGGCGUUACCGACAGAAGAAGCACCGGCUAACUCCGUGCCAGCCGCCGCGGUAAUUC
rnacentral:rRNA from 1 species